CCUACGGGUGGCAGCAGUGAGGAAUAUUGGUCAAUGGACGCAAGUCUGAACCAGCCAUGCCGCGUGCAGGAAGACGGCUCUAUGAGUUGUAAACUGCUUUUGUACGAGGGUAAACCCAAAUACGCGUAUCUGUCUUAAAGUAUCGUACGAAUAAUGAUCGGCUAACUCGGUGCCAGCAGCCGAGGUAAUGCGGAGGAUGCAAGCGUUAUCCGGAUUUAUUGGGUUUAAAGGGUGCGUAGGCGGUCGGUUAAGUUAGAGGUGAAAUCCCGAGGCUCAACCUCGCUCAGCCGUUGAAACUGGCGUUCUUGAGAGGGCGAGAAGUAUGCGGUAUGCGUGGUGUAGCGGUGAAAUGCAUAGAUAUCACGCAGAACUCCGAUUGCGAAGGCAGCAUACCGGCGCCCAACUGACGCUGAAGCACGAAAGCGUGGGUAUCGAACAGGAUUAGAUACCCCAGUAGUC
rnacentral:rRNA from 1 species